rnacentral:rRNA from 1 species
GUGGAUUAGAUACCCUGGUAGUCCACGCCGUAAACGAUGGGUACUAGGUGCCUGGGGGCGCGACCCCUUGGGUGCCGGCGCUAACGCAGGAAGUACCCCGCCUGGGGAGUACGGCCGCAAGGCUGAAACUCAAAGGAAUUGACGGGGGCCCGCACAAGCGGUGGAGCAUGUGGUUUAAUUCGACGCAACGCGAAGAACCUUACCUAGGCUUGACAUGCAUGGGAAACUCCUCAGAAACGAGGAGCCUCCUUCGGGAUCCAUGCACAGGUGCUGCACGGCCGUCGCCAGCU